UCCGUAGGCGGGCCUGUAAGUCAGUGGUGAAAUCUCAUAGCUUAACUAUGAAACUGCCAUUGAUACUGCAGGCCUUGAGUAAAUUUGAAGUGGCUGGAAUAAGUAGUGUAGCGGUGAAAUGCAUAGAUAUUACUUAGAACACCGAUUGCGAAGGCAGGUCACUAAGAUUUAACUGACGCUGAUGGAGAAAGCGUGGGGAGCGAACA
rnacentral:rRNA from 1 species